UCCGGAUUGGUGUAGGGUUAACAUUGCCGCCUCUCAUGUGUUGAAAGUAACGUUGAUUUACCGCGGCAGCCCGGGGUUCGAUUCCCCGAUCCGGAA